rnacentral:rRNA from 1 species
UCGGGAAUUUUGGGCAAUGGGCGAAAGCCUGACCCAGCAACGCCGCGUGAGGGAUGAAGUAUUUCGGUAUGUAAACCUCGAAAGAAUGGGAAGAAUAAAUGACGGUACCAUUUAUAAGCUCCGGCUAACUACGUGCCAGCAGCCGCGGUAAUACGUAGGGAGCAAGCGUUGUUCGGAUUUACUGGGCGUAAAGGGCGCGUAGGCGGCGCGGUAAGUCACUUGUGAAAUCUCUGAGCUUAACUCAGAACGGCCAAGGGAUACUGCUGUGCUAGAGUGCGGAAGAGGCAACCGGAAUUCUUGGUGUGGCGGUGAAAUGCGUAGAUAUCAAGAGGAACACCUGAGGCGAAGGCGGGUUGCUGGGCCGACACUGACGCUGAUGCGCGAAAGCCAGGGGAGCAAACG